rnacentral:lncRNA from 7 species
AUUAUGCUAAAUUAAAGAAAUACCUACACCUUAAGGGAAGUAGAAACCUUUUGUUUAUUUAUUUAUUUAUUGUCAUGCUUGCAGGUUUGAGUGUCUGCCAUCUGAGUGUGUUUCUGGUAUGUCAGAGAACGAAGGGUAAAUCUGGUUUAGCUUCAUCGUGGAUUCUUUCCUCAGCUCCAGGAAUCAGUGUAUAUAGUUUAGAUACAGUUAAAUGUUGGCUGCAAAUAGCCAUUUGUGUUAAGUUCAGCAUUUCUUUCCGUAUAAUCUCUGACCUUGAAAAGCUGAACUUGGAAAGAUGUCUGUGUUCUGCACUGUGAGAGCUGAGUCCACAGAUUGUUUGAAGGAAAAUACUUGCAGACAACAAGUAAGCAUGAUCAGAUAAUGACAUUCUCCCUGAAGAUUAGUUUCAACUGUAUUUGUCCUGCUUUUCCUUCUAUCUUCUGUGGAUCCUCCUAAGUGUCUCUACUGAGGACAGAUGAGGAUGAAGUUCUAAAGAAAGAGUUAGAAAUUUCCACAGUGUUGAGGUUUAUGCUCACAGCAUGUUUCCACAACUGUUUGCUAGUUAAAUCUCCAAGUUCAGUUCCCAUACUGACAUUUAAAAGUUGUGACUGUGGAACCUUGUCCAAACUCCUUACCCUGGUUUUCUCUGUUACCACAAGGCAACAGCUAAUUCAGACCAGAUGUCUGCCUAGUCCAGUCUUCUGUCUCUGACACUGAUCAAUAACAAAUUCUGGGAAAGAAAUUAGGGAAAAGUAUACACUGAGACCUGUAGUUACUUCCUCCAGAACAUUCUUCAAGCCACCACUGAUCGUGGCUGAAUGAUUUUCUGCACCCACAUAAGCUUGUGCAAUUGAUUACUCCCAGGAAUACAUACAGACUGUUUUUGAAUCUAUGAAAUUACUUAACAUUAGCAGUGAUCUGUGCUAUGGUGUCUCAUACCAUAACCAAGCUCUAUGUGAACAAACUGUUAGAAUUUAUUUUGUGAAGUACACUGUCUUGUGUGUUUGGAUCUGCAUUCUGUGCUUUUCACUUUCAGUACUAUAGUAGUUCUGUCAUUCUUAAAAAAUAACAUUGAGCAGUUGAGUUGCAGGUUGACCUGAUGUUUUAAGAUUUCUCUUGUUUCCAGUAGCUUUAUGAUUAAGAAUUAAAAAAUAAUACGUACAUUAU